rnacentral:rRNA from 1 species
UACGUAGGGUCCGAGCGUUGUCCGGAAUUAUUGGGCGUAAAGGGCUCGUAGGCGGUUUGUCGCGUCGGGAGUGAAAACGCCGGGCUUAACCCGGUGCUUGCUUUCGAUACGGGCAGACUGGAGGUAUGCAGGGGAGAACGGAAUUCCUGGUGUAGCGGUGAAAUGCGCAGAUAUCAGGAGGAACACCGGUGGCGAAGGCGGGUCUCUGGGCCGAUACUGACGCUGAGGAGCGAAAGCGUGGGGAGCGAACAGG